CCUAUGGGAGGCAGCAGUGGGGAAUUUUCCGCAAUGGGCGAAAGCCUGACGGAGCAAUACCGCGUGAGGGAGGAAGGCUCUUGGGUUGUAAACCUCUUUUCUUAGGGAAGAACAAAAUGACGGUACCUAAGGAAUAAGCAUCGGCUAACUCCGUGCCAGCAGCCGCGGUAAUACGGAGGAUGCAAGCGUUAUCCGGAAUGAUUGGGCGUAAAGCGUCCGCAGGUGGUUUUGUAAGUCUAUUGUUAAAGCGUCUGGCUCAACCAGAUAAUGGCGGUGGAAACUACAAGACUAGAGUACGUUCGGGGCAGAGGGAAUUCCUGGUGUAGCGGUGAAAUGCGUAGAGAUCAGGAAGAACACCGGUGGCGAAAGCGCUCUGCUAGGCCGUAACUGACACUGAGGGACGAAAGCUAGGGGAGCGAAUGGGAUUAGAUACCCCAGUAGUCCUAGCCGUAAACGAUGGAUACUAGGCGUGGCUUGUAUCGACCCGAGCCGUGCCGUAGCUAACGCGUUAAGUAUCCGCUGGGAGUACGCACGCAGUGUGAACUAAUAGUAAUAGACGGCGUGAGACGUGCGACGGACGACGACGAGGGAGUAGG
rnacentral:rRNA from 1 species